rnacentral:misc_RNA from 1 species
GAUGAAGAACGCAGCGAAAUGCGAUAAGUAAUGUGAAUUGCAGAAUUCAGUGAAUCAUCGAAUCUUUGAACGCACAUUGCGCCCGCCAGUAUUCUGGCGGGCAUGCCUGUUCGAGCGUCAUUACAACCCUCAGGCCCCCGGGCCUGGCGUUGGGGAUCGGCGGAGCCCCCCGUGGGCACACGCCGUCCCCCAAAUACAGUGGCGGUCCCGCCGCAGCUUCCAUCGCGUAGUAGCUAACACCUCGCGACUGGAGAGCGGCGCGUCCACGCCGUAAAACACCCAACUCUUCUGAAGUUGACCUCGAAUCAGGUAGGAAUACCCGCUGAACUUAAGCAUAUCAAUAAGCGGAGGA